rnacentral:rRNA from 1 species
UACGUAGGGGGCUAGCGUUGUCCGGAAUCAUUGGGCGUAAAGCGCGCGUAGGCGGCCCGGUAAGUCCGCUGUGAAAGUCAAAGGCUCAACCUUUGAAUGUCAGCGGAUACUGCCGGGCUAGAGUCCGGAAGAGGCGAGUGGAACUCCUGGUGUAGCGGUGGAAUGCGCAGAUAUCAGGAAGAACACCAACGGCGAAGGCAGCUCGCUGGGACGGAACUGACGCUGAGACGCGAAAGCGUGGGAGCGAACAGG